rnacentral:rRNA from 1 species
UACGGGGGGAGCAAGCGUUGUUCGGAUUUACUGGGCGUAAAGGGCGCGUAGGCGGCCAGCACAAGUCAGUUGUGAAAUCUCCGGGCUUAACUCGGAAAGGUCAACUGAUACUGUGCGGCUAGAGUGCAGAAGGGGCAGCUGGAAUUCUCGGUGUAGCGGUGAAAUGCGUAGAUAUCGAGAGGAACACCUGCGGCGAAGGCGGGUUGCUGGGCUGACACUGACGCUGAUGUGCGAAAGCUAGGGGGAGCGAACGGGG